rnacentral:rRNA from 1 species
GAUGAACGCUGGCGGCGUGCCUAAUACAUGCAAGUCGAGCGGACGGACGAGAAGCUUGCUGCGCUGAUGUUAGGGGCGGACGGGUGAGUAACACGUGGAUAACCUACCUAAAAGACUGGGAUAACUUCGGGAAACCGGAGCUAAUACCGGAGGAGAUUUUGAACCGCAGGGUGCAAAGGUGAAAGACGGUCGUGCGGGCACGUAUAGAGGGAUCCGCGCUGCAUUAGCUAGUUGGUAAGGUAACGGCUUACCAAGGCAACGAUGCAUAGCCGACCUGAGAGGGUGAUCGCCCACCCUGGAGCUGAGCCACGGUCCAGACUCCUACGGGAGGCAGCAGUCGGGAAUCUUCCGCAAUGGGCGAGAGCCUGACGGAGCAACGCCGCGUCAGUUAUGACGGUCUUCGGAUCGUAAAACUCUGUUUUUAGUGAAGAACCUAUUUGUCAGUAACUGUGCCCUUCUUGACGGUACCUAAUCAGAAAGCCCCGGCUAACUACGUG